UACGGGGGGAGCAAGCGUUGUUCGGAUUUACUGGGCGUAAAGGGCGCGUAGGCGGUCAGCACAAGUCAGUUGUGAAAUCUCCGGGCUUAACUCGGAAAGGUCAACUGAUACUGUGCGACUAGAGUGCAGAAGGGGCAACUGGAAUUCUCGGUGUAGCGGUGAAAUGCGUAGAUAUCUGGAGGAACACCGGUGGCGAAGGCGGCAUCCUGGACCGGCAUUGACGCUGAGGAGCGAAAGCCAGGGGAGCAAACGGG
rnacentral:rRNA from 1 species